rnacentral:lncRNA from 1 species
ACUGUAACCAUUUUUAAGUGUACAAUUCUAAUAGUCCAUUCACAUCGUUCAAUUUCUUUAAGUUCUGUGUGCUACCGACAGAACAAAAUGAUGCCCAUGAAAUCCAGGUUGACGAGGAACGAAAAAGAAGAGAAAGAAAAGACAGGUUAAACGGUGCAGUGAAAAGAAAGACAGCCCUAGGUUGGGAUGAAUCCAGGCCCUGUUGUUAAAACGCUGCAUGGCUUUAGGUAAAUCAUCUAACCUUUGGGGGCGUUCUUUUCCUCGUCUGAAAAAUGAGAGGUUCGGUUUAGAUUAUCUUUAAUAAUUCUUUCAGCUCUAAAGCCGCUUAUGUAGAAAAGGAGAGGAGAAACAUUUCCUGAGGAGCAAAAAUUGGGGCGCGCACCAGUAACGACCAGCGCCACCUGUUUCCUAAGGUCUUGGCCAAGAGGCUAUGAACUAUCCCGGGCGAGUAGCCUAUUCUGUCCGCUACGCUGUUUUGCGUGGAGCUCUGCAGCAGGCCAGAGCUCCUGCACCCCAUUCCACCCUCAGCAUCCGGGGAUCUGCCUCUUGAGCACCCCGAAUCCCCAGGUCCGGAGGUCGGCACCUCUGGUUCUCAGACCAGGUGUAGGUGGUCCUGCAAUCACACCUCCGCGCUGUGUCAUCAGGGGACGGAGUGCAUUGCGAGGAGGGCCACGAGUGCAUCUCAGAUGAGCGCCUCCAGGGCUGGGAACGAGCACGCCAGAGCAAGGGAGCUCCAGGCGUCACUCAGGGCGAGAGGCAGAGAACAACGAGGCGCGCCGGGCCAGGCCAGGCCCGCAAGCCCAGGAUCCGGCAGGGGAGCUUUCGGCCGAGCGUACUCAGUGCGCCUGCCCCGUGCGUGCGCGCGCGCUCGUGAGCUCGCUCCCCGGGCCGCGCGCCCCGGUGCUCGCGAAAGCUCGCUGUCGCUGGGAGGCGCGCGCCGGCGUUCCUCGGCCGCUCCGGGUACCUGAGGGACGCGCGGCCGCCCCCGGCAGGCGGUGCAGCCCCCCCCCCCCACCCCUUGGAGCCAGGCGCCGGGGUCUGAGGUGAGCCCCGCGAAGCGUGUGGGCCCCCUGGCCCGGGGCAACGGGAAGAAGGAGCGGUGAAUGUGGAGCCCGAGGAGGCGCCGCGCGCCUGCCUGCUGCUCCGCCUCAGCCCGCGCCGAGGAGCCAGCAGCAGCCCGGCGCCUCCUCCUCAGGGAUCGUUCCUCUCGUCGCGGCCACAACAAAAGCCUUGGGCGCCGGGCUACAAAGAUAAAAAAAAUUCAGAGUCGGAGAGCCUAGGAAAGAGGUGUAAGAGCUUGACUGGGUGGGGCUGGAAGGAUAAAAGAGCUGAAGAUAAAAUAUAACUAAGAUGCAGCCCUUCUUCUACCAUACCCCCCCACCCCAUUGUUUGAAACUAUUAGGAAAAUAAGUAAAUUACUGGUAAAGCCUAUCAUUCUGCCCUCUCUUUCCUCCUACCCCUUUUCCCUCAUCCACUACUAAAAUUCUCUAUCUCCAUCUCUCCUAAAUCUAUAAAAGCGUCCCAUUUAUAAAAGGAGAAGGACAAUGAGCUGUUUCCUCAUCCUAGCUGCUCUAUGCUUCUGAGCUUUAUUUUGUGCUUUGAGCAUUUAGGUGGCUAUUUCUUGGGAGUUCCGUGAUUGAGAUAUUUGAAGUAGAGAGGGCUAGGGGAAUUUAAUAGCAAAGUGCACAUUCUUUCUUUGUAUAGAACAAAGUGAAAGCUUUAUCACUGGGGAACGAGAGAGGAGUUUUUUGCUCACAAU